AGAGUUUGAUCCUGGCUCAGGACGAACGCUGGCGGCGUGCCUAAUACAUGCAAGUAGAACGCUGAAGAGAGGAGCUUGCUCUUCUUGGAUGAGUUGCGAACGGGUGAGUAACGCGUAGGUAACCUGCCUUGUAGCGGGGGAUAACUAUUGGAAACGAUAGCUAAUACCGCAUAACAAUGGGUGACACAUGUCAUUUAUUUGAAAGGGGCAAUUGCUCCACUACAAGAUGGACCUGCGUUGUAUUAGCUAGUAGGUGAGGUAACGGCUCACCUAGGCGACGAUACAUAGCCGACCUGAGAGGGUGAUCGGCCACACUGGGACUGAGACACGGCCCAGACUCCUACGGGAGGCAGCAGUAGGGAAUCUUCGGCAAUGGGGGCAACCCUGACCGAGCAACGCCGCGUGAGUGAAGAAGGUUUUCGGAUCGUAAAGCUCUGUUGUAAGUCAAGAACGAGUGUGAGAGUGGAAAGUUCACACUGUGACGGUAGCUUACCAGAAAGGGACGGCUAACUACGUGCCAGCAGCCGCGGUAAUACGUAGGUCACAAGCGUUGUCCGGAAUUACUGGGUGUAAAGGGAGCGCAGGCGGGAAGACAAGUCGGAAGUGAAAUCCAUGGGCUCAACCCAUGAACUGCUUUCAAAACUGUUUUUCUUGAGUAGUGCAGAGGUAGGCGGAAUUCCCGGUGUAGCGGUGGAAUGCGUAGAUAUCGGGAGGAACACCAGUGGCGAAGGCGGCCUACUGGGCACCAACUGACACUGAGGCUCGAAAGUGUGGGUAGCAAACAGGAUUAGAUACCCUGGUAGUCCACACUGUAAACGAUGAUUACUAGGUGUUGGAGGAUUGACCCCUUCAGUGCCGCAGUUAACACAAUAAGUAAUCCACCUGGGGAGUACGACCGCAAGGUUGAAACUCAAAGGAAUUGACGGGGGCCCGCACAAGCAGUGGAGUAUGUGGUUUAAUUCGACGCAACGCGAAGAACCUUACCAAGUCUGGACAUCCCUCUGACCGGGACUUAACCGUCCCUUUCCUUCGGGACAGGGGAGACAGGUGGUGCAUGGUUGUCGUCAGCUCGUGUCGUGAGAUGUUGGGUUAAGUCCCGCAACGAGCGCAACCCCUAUCCUUAGUAGCCAGCACGUAAUGGUGGGCACUCUGAGGAGACUGCCAGGGAUAACCUGGAGGAAGGCGGGGAUGACGUCAAAUCAUCAUGCCCCUUAUGAUUUGGGCUACACACGUGCUACAAUGGCGUAAACAAAGGGAAGCGAACCUGUGAGGGUGGGCAAAUCUCAAAAAUAACGUCCCAGUUCGGACUGCAGUCUGCAACUCGACUGCACGAAGCUGGAAUCGAUAGUAAUCGCGGAUCAGAAUGCCGCGGUGAAUACGUUCCCGGGUCUUGUACUCACCGCCCGUCA
rnacentral:rRNA from 1 species